GAGAGUAUAGCUCAGUAGAAGGAAAUAGCUGCCAGAUAGAGGAGGCUCUUGCUUGGCUCAAAGUAAUUUUCAGAUAAAAGGGUGGUCAUGACUUGUUAUUAGUGAACAUAGAAUCUAGGGAAGGAUUCAUUAUGUGAAAUGUGAAAUAAAAACUUUCAGGCAAAGGGAAAAGUAAGUAUACCCAAGGUUGCAAAAGUUUUGCAGUUCAUGAGGACUUAAAAAUGACUCAGUUGAACUAUGGGAGAGGCAAGAGUGGAAUAGAGGAGUCAGGACAUGAGGUCAGAGUUAGGUGGGAGUGAAAUCACUUUGAGACCAUGCAGAGUAUGGGGAACUGAUAGGUUUAAGCCCCAAGGCUCAGAGAUGCUACUGACGGCUUAAAGGAAGACAAGUAACAUGAUUUGACACUAGUUUUAAGAAAUAUUACUCUGGCUUUCUUAUUCAUCCCUUUACCUUUUUCCCUUUCUUUAUCCAUCUGCAAUUCCAGUAACAUUGUUCAUAUUAUCCAGAUUACAAAAAAUUUAAACACUUGCCAUUUGUAUAACUGUUUUCCCUCUUCUUUCAGAUUUCUACUUUCUUUCUCUCAAGGGAUUGUGAAACCACGUUAGGGUAUACAUCUGGUUAGACUACAAGUUUCCAAUGCUCUUGGGAAACAUUUGUUACAAAGUAGUAGUUGGGUGACAUGGUUUCAUUGUUUUAAUGAAAGUGAAAUGGAAUUAACACAUUUUUGUAUUAAAAUGGCUCUUUAGAGAUCUGACUACUAGGGAAAACAACAAUGUUUUGUUUGACUAUGUUAUGAAGACUUCAAACUUAGUUCCCAAUAAACCUCACUUUCUGGUAUUCAUGCCCUUGUGUAUUCCACUCCUUGCAAGUAUAAACUAAUCCUAGAGAUCAAUAAACUACAGUAAGUUGAUGAGAUGUCAAUCAUGUAAUAACUUACAAAAGUUUAUGAAUUCCAUAUUGCUAAACCAUCCUCUCCAUUGCUUUUUUGACUUGCACAUUUUGAUGGAGAGACCCAAAUUAACAAAGAACUGUGGAAGAUUUCUAGUCAAAAGUCAACGGGGAACUGAUUCUUGCCAACAACCACUAAACUUGGAAGUAGAUCCAUCAGCAACUGGACCUUCAGAUGAGAGUCAUGUAUGACACCUUGAUUGUGAUCCUGUGAGAGACCCUUAGGCAGAGCACCUAGUUAAGUCAAACUCAGAUUGCUGACUCCCAGAAAUUGUAAGAUAAUGAAAUGCCAAUAUAAGAAUUGAAUGUCAGCUGCGGUGCUCAGAAGAAUAAGCAAUGAAGACAUCUAGAUCAGUAGCUCUUGAGGAACACCCACGUUUUUCGGAUCAUCAAAAGCCAUGCAUCAGUGUGGUGAAUGCAUCCCCUACUGAAGAAGAAAGGGAGAGUUGUACAGAGAGCACCUGAUUGUAGCGGAUCAGAAAGACUGUGUUUGACCCUGCUUGAAAAGAACAGAAAAAAGCAAAGACAAAAGUUGAAUAAAUAAAAAUAUGAUGACCAACCUGCAAACUGUUAUCGAUCAAUGGAUGCAUUCACCGAGUAUUUGUUUCUGUACGUGUGUGAUGUUUGACGUAUCCUGAAAGGAACAGGAACUAUCGAAAGUUUAUCUUUAAGCUACAUGCUUUUGUGACUGCCAUAAAGUUUCACUUGUGUCGCUAAAUUACUGAAAAUGUUGAAGGAAAGAAAACUGGGGAUAGCCACAGAUGCUUGCAGUUUUCAAUUUGCUGACUUGAAUAUUUGCAACUGGU